AUGAAAUAGCAUGGAUCUGAAAAGAUAUUCUUUCAGAUAUAUUAUUCUAAGACUGAAUAAUGGAAUCAUUGUAGUUUUCAUCACGUGUCUGUUCCUUUACUCUCAAUCUUGGCC
rnacentral:lncRNA from 1 species